CCCCUUCUCGCACCCCCCUUCGCUGGUUUUUUUUUUUUUUUAGAUCCAGGGAGAGGAACUUGAAAGGGGGGUUGUGUAAUGUACCUUUUCCAAUCCCGGGCUGUAUAUGGAGAUUUGGGAUUCUUUAAACCGGCGCUACCUGGAUUUUAUUAAAAAGCGGGGAGCUCGGCGGGAGGAAAGCUGGCUUUUCCGGGGGCUGCGGGAGCGGGGCCGCGGGAGGGCGGAGGAGUUGGCGCGCAGAGCGCUCGGCCCAGGGAGCGGUUUUCUACCAAAAAAAGGAAAGGCGGGCAAAAAGUGUGAAGCGGCUGCGGGUGGCGGAGGGGAGCGGCGGCCGCGGGAUGGCGGGCAGCACAGGCGCUUAGCCGCGCCGGGAGCCGGGGCCGCCGCCGGAGUCGCUGUUGCCGGAGCCCGGAGCCGGGAGCCCCGCCGCGCCAGACGCUGUGUGUGCCACCUCGCGCAGCUCCGCCUGGUCGCCCGGAGGGGUUCCACCGCCCGCCGGCCGCGCGCCCCAGGCGGGCCCGCCACCGAGCGCCAGCCGCGGCCAUGCACACUACGGAGCCCCCGCCACCCGAGGACUCUGGGACUACGUUGAGGCUAAACUUUUAGGUCCCACGGAGUGAGGCCUGCGGGCCGGGUGGGGGGCUGGCCGCGGCACUCCCGCGGAGGAUGGAUGGCCGAGACUUCGGGCCCCAGCGGUCCGUGCAUGGCCCCCCGCCGCCGCUGCUGUCCGGCUUGGCCAUGGACAGCCACCGCGUGGGCGCGGCUACUGCCGGACGCUUGCCUGGCUCCAGCUUGCCCGGCCCGCUGCCGCCCGGGAAGUACAUGGCCGGCCUCAACCUCCACCAGCACCCGGGAGACAAAGAUAACGUCAGUAACAGCAAACAUCGCCGGAAGAAGGCUGUCUGCAGUUGCUGGACCUGAGGCAGAUCAGAUGUGGCCGUUUGGAGUGUUCUUUGUGGACUUGGCUGUGGUCUGACCUGAUUUUACGCUCACCCUGUGACUGCCACCCAGACUCCAGCCCAGCUUUGAAGACCAGCUGGGGCUUCUCCCACCUGCCCAGUGGGCUGUACCC
ensembl:lncRNA